GCUUGUUCAAAGAUUAAGCCAUGCAUGUCUAAGUGUAAAUAAGUCUAUACUGUGAAACUGCGAAUGGCUCAUUAAAUCAGUUAUCGUUUAUUUGAUGAUCUCUUACUACUUGGAUAACCGUAGUAAUUCUAGAGCUAAUACAUGCUGUAAGCCCGACUUUUCGGAAGGGCCGUAUUUAUUAGAUAACAGACCAAUGCCCCCCCGGGCUUUGUGGUGACUCAUAGUAACUAAUCGGAUCGCAUGGGCCUGUCCCGCGACAAACCAUUCAAGUUUCUGCCCCAUCAGCUUUCGAUGGUAGUGUAUUGGACUACCAUGGCUUUUACGGGUAACGGAGGAUUAGGGUUCGAUUCCGGAGAGGGAGCCUGAGAAACGGCUACCACAUCUAAGGAAGGC
rnacentral:rRNA from 1 species